rnacentral:lncRNA from 1 species
GUUCAAACACAGAGAGUCAGCCUUCUGGCUCAGUGUUAUGGUUGAGCCUUAUGGCUCCGAUACUGGGAGACGUGGUCGUAAGACUCCUCGGGAGUCAGAUACUCUCGAGGAGCGAGAAAGGAAGCGGCUGCGGGACUUAUUUGCAGAACCAUCUGACGAGGAUUCCUUUGAGGGUUUUACUGAGAGAAUGGAGGAAGAGAUGGUUAGCUCAGAGGAGGAUGACAUGGAAUGGACUCGUGUGAGGGAGGAUUUGGGUGCCACUGGCAAUGAUAGUAUGGAAGGCGAUUGGGGACCUUCAGGAUUAGACCCGUGGACAAGCUGGAGGGAUGGGACGGGAUCCACAGCUGGGGAUGCUGUGGGGCGUAGUCAAAGGUGUUUCAGUUCUGAUGAGGAAAGUGAUGAGGAAACGCCUGGAAUUAGGGUAACAGCUAAUAGUGAUGAUGAGGAGCUGUAAACUGGCAUAAAAUGGGGUUUGGAAGCAAUGGCUAAUUGCGUUGGGCAAGGUAAUCUGGACGAACGCUUGGGCUCUGUGUGGGAAAUUCCUGAAGACGGGUGUGAUUCGUUUGCUGACUACGUAAGUUACCAAGGACACUGGGCAUAGACGGCGGGAGGAACUGUGUGGGCUUUUGUUGUGCAACCUGUGCUUAAUCUUAAUAGCUUGGACCUCCGUCGUCUUCUUGACGGACGCCAUCUGUUUAUUCUGGACUGACUGACUGACUGACUGACUACGGCCUUGGACUCUCCUUCCUGUGAUUAUCGUUGGACCUGGUGAACUACAAACGUCUGUAUCUGCCUUACGACCUUCGGACCAGAUUGGAACUUCGCUGACCGCUUCUGCCCUUGAAUGCUGCGUUUGUAUCUGGAAAUUGCUUGCUGUGUGGAGGAGUAACCUCUUAGUUACUCAAACAUAGCUUUUGGCAGCAGAGAAGCAUCUGCUGCCAGUUUUUUGUAUUCCUUUGAACCUUUUGUUCACCAGCUUUUGUUUGUUUUAGUCCCAGGCUGAAGUAAGCUUUUUUGGUUUAACCCGGAUUAAACUCCGGUUUAAUCCGUUUUAUCUUUUGAACGUUUUCCUUGUGUCUUUUUACUUUUAAGGCCAAUGUUUGCCUAGCCCUUGUCUUUUACGGGCAUUUUUGGUUCUGUAACUCCAAUAAACUUUGUUAUAUCUUAUCUUGUGGCGUUCUGUCCUUGACACUCAGUGUUAGAAGAACCUCAAGGGACAUCUUGAUCUGCUUCUCCUUCACUUAUAUCUCCCUCUACAAAGGAGAAUCUCUACCUGAGUCUACAAAUUCACUGCUACUUAUUGCUAGGGACAUGGAAUCACAGGAUCAUCAAGACCUAGAUCUUAGAGCUUGGAACAGCUGCAACUGCC